UCAUAUUUCCUCAUUAGAAUGAUGGACAGAUAACUUAUCUAUAAACAUGCCAACAUACAAACUUUUUCAUCAGUCGUGUCGAGUGAGGAUCACUGUAUAUCAGCUUAUAUCAGGAAACUCGUCCUCUGAACUGGUUUGUGAAUAAACAAAAAACUGGACUGUCCAAACUGACAAUGGCUUCCUUUCAUAAAGGUUUUAUAAAAGCUCAUCCUCUCAUCUCUGGGAUUCUGUAUGUCUUAAGACUGUACUUGGCCACUUCAACUGUAACACCGGUGACGACUGCAGGUAAU